GUAAUACUCCCUCCGUUCGAAAAUACUUGUCGGAGAAAUGGUUGUAUCUAGACAUAUUUUAGUUUAAGGUACAUCCAUUUUUAUCCAUUUCUUCAACAAGUAUUUCCGGAUCGAGGGAGUACAAU
rfam:Triticum aestivum genome assembly, contig: Triticum_aestivum_CS42_TGACv1_scaffold_406133_5BL